rnacentral:rRNA from 1 species
GACAGAGGGUGCAAACGUUGCUCGGAAUUACUGGGCGUAAAGCGUGAGUAGGCGGUCAUCGAAGUCGGGUGUGAAAGCCCAGGGCUCAACCCUGGAAGUGCACACGAUACUGGAUGGCUUGAGUUCUGAAGAGGAGAGCGGAAUUCCCGGUGUAGAGGUGAAAUUCGUAGAUAUCGGGGAGGAACACCGGGUGGCGAAGGCGGCGAUCUGGGUCGAUACUGACGCUGGAGGUGACGAAAGCGUGGGGAGCAAACAGG